rnacentral:pre_miRNA from 1 species
UGUUAAGUAUAAAUAAGUACUGUGCAAUAUGUGGCAUCUACUUAUACUAAAA